rnacentral:rRNA from 1 species
GACGAACGCUGGCGGCGUGCCUAAUACAUGCAAGUAGAGCGAGUGGCGGACGGGUGAGUAAUGUCUGGGAAACUGCCCGAUGGAGGGGGUUAACUACUGGAAACGGUAGCUAAUACCGCAUAAAAUCGGAGGUGCCCAGAUGGGAUUAGCCAGUAGGUGGGGUAACGACUCACAUAGGCGACGAGCCCUAGCUGGUCUGAGCGGAUGACCAGCCACAGUGGAACGGAGACACGGUCCGAAAUCGUACGGGAGUCAGCAGUGGGUAAUAUGGCACAAGGGGGGCAAGCCUGAUGCAGACAUGCCGCGUGUAUGAAGAAGGCCUUCGGGGGGUAAAGUACUUUCAGCGAGGAGGCGUUACUCGCAGAAGAAGCACCGGCUAACUCCGGGCCAGCCGCCGCGGUAAUAC